GCCUACGGGGCGCAGCAGUGAGGAAUAUUGGUCAAUGGGCUUACGCCUGAACCAGCCAAGUCGCGUGAGGGAAGACUGCCCUAUGGGUUGUAAACCUCUUUUGUCAGGGAGCAAUUAGCGCUACGUGUAGCGUUAUCGAGAGUACCUGAAGAAAAAGCAUCGGCUAACUCCGUGCCAGCAGCCGCGGUAAUACGGAGGAUGCGAGCGUUAUCCGGAUUUAUUGGGUUUAAAGGGUGCGUAGGCGGAAUGCCAAGUCAGCGGUAAAAUCGCGGGGCUCAACCUCGCUCCGCCGUUGAAACUGGCGU
rnacentral:rRNA from 1 species